rnacentral:rRNA from 1 species
ACUCAAAUGAAUUGACGGGGACCCGCACAAGCGGUGGAUGAUGUGGUUUAAUUCGAUGCAACGCGAAAAACCUUACCUACCCUUGACAUGCCGGAAAUGCCGCAGAGAUGUGGCAGUGCUCGAAAGAGAAUCCGGACACAGGUGCUGCAUGGCCGUCGUCAGCUCGUGUCGUGAGAUGUUGGGUUAAGUCCCGCAACGAGCGCAACCCUUGCCAUUAGUUGCUACGAAAGGGCACUCUAAUGGGACUGCCGGUGACAAACCGGAGGAAGGUGGGGAUGACGUCAGGUCCUCAUGGCCCUUAUGGGUAGGGCUACACACGUCAUACAAUGGCCGGUACAGAGGGCUGCCAACCCGCGAGGGGGAGCCAAUCCCAGAAAACCGGUCGUAGUCCGGAUCGCAGUCUGCAACUCGACUGCGUGAAGUCGGAAUCGCUAGUAAUCGCGGAUCAGCUUGCCGCGGUGAAUACGUUCCCGGGUCUUGUACACACCGCCCGU